UUUCACAAGUUGAACUUUUCUUUUGAUUCAACAGGUUGGAAACACUCUUUUGUAAAAUCUACAAAGAAACAUUUUGGAGUCCAUUGAGGCCUAUAGUGAAAAACUGAAUAUUUCGCCUUGAAAACCAGAAACAAGCUAUCUGUGAAAAUGCUUUGUGAUGGAAGAUUUAUCUCACAGAGUUAAACGUUUGUAUUGAUUCAGCUGGCUGGCAACACUCUUUUUGUAAAAUCUACAAUGGGACAUUUCAGAGACCAUUGAAGUCUACAGAAAAAGACUGAAUAUCCCAUGAUUAAAACUAGAAACAAG
rnacentral:lncRNA from 1 species